GAAGCGCACAAUAGGCAGGGCGCGGUGGCUCACGCCUGUAAUCCCAGCACUUUGGGAGGCUCAGGCGGGCGGAUCACAAGCCUGCACUAGGUGACGCUGAAGCCACAGAAGACACUGCAGUGGGAAAACCAGCAUGAGCCGCUGCCCCCAAGGAACCUCAAAGCCCAGGCAGAGGACCAGCCAUCCCAGCCCGCAGGUAAAGUGUGUCACCUGUCAGGUGGGCUUGGGGUGAGUGGGUGGGGGAAGUGUGUGUGCAAAGGGGGUGUGAGUGUGUAUGCGUGUGAGCACAUGAGUGAUGGCUAGUGUGACUGCAUGUCAGGGAGUGUGAACAAGCGUGCGAGGGUGUGUGUGCAAGUGCGUAUGCAUAUGAGAAUAUGUGUCUGUGGAUGAGUGCAUUUGAAAGCCUGUGUGUGUGUGUGUGUGCUCAUGAGGGUAAGUUAGUGACUGAAUGUGCAGGAUGUGUGAGUGUGCAUGGAACACUGUCAGUGUGUCUGUGUGGCAAGUGUGUAGGCGUGUGAGGACAGGCAGAAGUGUGUCAGUGUUGUGAUGGGAGUGUGAAUGAGUGUGCAAAAAGGUGAGUGAAUGUGCAUGGAAGUGUGUGUCAACUAUGAAGGCAUGUAGUGUGUCAGUGUGUGCAGUGCAAGCAUGUGUGGGAAUGAGUGCUUGUGGGUGUGUCCAUAUCCAACGGGUAUGUGUGAAAGCAUGUAAAAGUGUGUGUAGUGUGAUGGUGUGUGGAUGUAUCAGUGUGUAUAAAUGAGAGCAUGUAAAUGUGUAUGUAUGAGUGUUGAGUGAGUGUGCAUAUGUGAGGCUGUGCGUGUGAGUGUAACCAUGAGGGUGUGAACGUGCUUAAGUGUAUGUGCAUGUGACAGUGCAAGUGUAGGGGUGUGAUGCAUGUGUGGGUUUGCCAGUGUAUGAGUGUACAUGGUGUGGAUCUGAAUGUGCACAGUGUAAAGGGCAUGAGUGCAAGUGUGUGUGAGUGUAUGUGAAUGAGUGGUAGUGUGCAUGCAUGUGUGAGUGCACGCUCAGAAGCAUGGAUGGGUGCAAGCCUCCCCUACUAACUCCUCCUCCUUCCUGAGAUCAAAAAAGUAUGUGUUUUCUGUGUUUCAAAAAUGUUUUAAAAUUAUGUACUGUAUUUAAUAGUUCUUAUGACUACAGUGUUUUUCUCUCUGCUUAAAGCGCAGCAGGGGCUGGGCGCAGUGGCUCACACCUGUAAUCCCAGCACUUUGGGAGGCCAAGGCAAGUGGAUCAGUUGAGAUCAGGAGUUCAAGACCAGCCUGGACAACAUGGUGAAACCCCAUCUCUACUAAAAAUACAAAAAUUAG
rnacentral:lncRNA from 1 species